rnacentral:rRNA from 1 species
UACGGGGGGAGCAAACGUUGUUCGGAAUCACUGGGCGUAAAGGGCGCGUAGGCGGCUUUAUAAGUGAGGUGUUAAAUCCUCGGGCUCAACCCGAGAACCGCACUUCAUACUGUUAAGCUUGAGUGCAGCAGAGGAGACUGGAAUUCCCGGUGUAGCGGUGAAAUGCGUAGAUAUCGGGAGGAAUACCAGUGGCGAAAGCGACACCCUGGCAUUAGCCUGACGCUCAUGUGCGAAGGCGUGGGGAGCGAACGGG